rnacentral:rRNA from 1 species
UGGGCAACCUGCCCUCAGCUCUGGGAUAACUCCAAGAAAUUGGGGCUAAUACCGGAUAUGACCACUGACCGCAUGGUCUGGUGGUGGAAAGAUUUAUCGGCUGGGGAUGGGCCCGCGGCCUAUCAGCUUGUUGGUGGGGUAGUGGCCUACCAAGGCGACGACGGGUAGCCGGCCUGAGAGGGUGACCGGCCACACUGGGACUGAUACACGGCCCAGACUCCUACGGGAG